rnacentral:rRNA from 1 species
UUAGAGUUUGAUCCUGGCUCAGGACGAACGCUGGCGGCGUGCCUAAUACAUGCAAGUCGAGCGAGCUUGCCUAGAUGAUUUAGUGCUUGCACUAAAUGAAACUAGAUACAAGCGAGCGGCGGACGGGUGAGUAACACGUGGGUAACCUGCCCAAGAGACUGGGAUAACACCUGGAAACAGAUGCUAAUACCGGAUAACAACACUAGACGCAUGUCUAGAGUUUGAAAGAUGGUUCUGCUAUCACUCUUGGAUGGACCUGCGGUGCAUUAGCUAGUUGGUAAGGUAACGGCUUACCAAGGCAAUGAUGCAUAGCCGAGUUGAGAGACUGAUCGGCCACAUUGGGACUGAGACACGGCCCAAACUCCUACGGGAGGCAGCAGUAGGGAAUCUUCCACAAUGGACGAAAGUCUGAUGGAGCAACGCCGCGUGAGUGAAGAAGGGUUUCGGCUCGUAAAGCUCUGUUGGUAGUGAAGAAAGAUAGAGGUAGUAACUGGCCUUUAUUUGACGGUAAUUACUUAGAAAGUCACGGCUAACUACGUGCCAGCAGCCGCGGUAAUACGUAGGUGGCAAGCGUUGUCCGGAUUUAUUGGGCGUAAAGCGAGAGCAGGCGGUUCAAUAAGUCUGAUGUGAAAGCCUUCGGCUCAACCGGAGAAUUGCAUCAGAAACUGUUGAACUUGAGUGCAGAAGAGGAGAGUGGAACUCCAUGUGUAGCGGUGGAAUGCGUAGAUAUAUGGAAGAACACCAGUGGCGAAGGCGGCUCUCUGGUCUGCAACUGACGCUGAGGCUCGAAAGCAUGGGUAGCGAACAGGAUUAGAUACCCUGGUAGUCCAUGCCGUAAACGAUGAGUGCUAAGUGUUGGGAGGUAUCCACCUGUCAGUGGUGCAGCUCACGCAUUAAGCACUCCGCGUGGGGAGUACGUCCGCAAGGUUGAUACUCAAAGGAAUUGACGGGGGCCCGCACAAGCGGUGGAGCAUGUGUUUUAAUUAGAAGCAACGCGAAGAGCCUUGACAGGUCUUGACAUUCAGUGCAAACUUAUGAGAUUAGGUGUUCCCUUUGGGGACGGAGAGACAGGUGGUGCAUGGCUGUGGUCAGCUGGUGUCGUGAGAGUUUGGGUUAAGUCCAGCAAUGAGUGCAAUCGUUGUCAUUAGUUGCCAUCAUUAAGUUGGGCCCUUUAAUGAGACUUCCGGCGACAAACCGGAGGAAGGUGGGGAUGACGUCAAGUUAUCAUGCCCUUUAUGCCUUGGGCUACACACGUGAUACAA